GGUCUGGCUGGCGGGUCCGCCUCACCGCGUGCACUUGUCCGGCCGGGCCUUUCCUUCUGGAGAACCUCAUGCCCUUCACUGGGCGUGUUGGGGAACCAGGACUUUUACUUUGAAAAAAUUAGAGUGUUCAAAGCAGGCAUGUGCCGGAAUAAUUGCGCUGGGAAUAAUGGAAUAGGACCU
rnacentral:rRNA from 1 species